UACAGAGGUCCCGAGCGUUGUUCGGAUUUACUGGGCGUAAAGGGCGCGUAGGCGGCCAGCACAAGUCAGUUGUGAAAUCUCCGAGCUUAACUCGGAAAGGUCAACUGAUACUGUGCGGCUAGAGUGCAGAAGGGGCAACUGGAAUUCUUGGUGUAGCGGUGAAAUGCGUAGAUAUCGAGAGGAACACCAGUGGCGAAGGCGAGUCUCUGGACGACUCCUGACACUGAGGCACGAAAGCUGGGGGAGCAAACAGG
rnacentral:rRNA from 1 species